AUCACAAUAUGCUAAUAUUUUGAGAAGGACCUGUAUGUGGUUACGUAUGUCGGAGACAAUAACAGCAGAGCCGUCAUCAAGGAGAACAAGUUCUUCUUCAAGGACAAUGCCAUCCAAGAAUGUGGGAAGACAUCGAGGAUGAAGAUGAGGAUGGAAAUGCUUGAAAGGUUGAGUUGAAGCUGAAGGUUCUUUCUUUUCCUCUAACAGAAAGAUUUAUCCAUCAAAUUCCAUGUCCUGCUGACAUCUUAUGAGUCAUUCCCGUGGUAGAUAAUACCCACAAUAAAAACAAUCAGUCCAAGGUAUGCUGACAAUAUUAUAGACUUAUGAUUCUUCCAAAUAGCCACCCUUUGCUCUGAUUACUGCUUUGCUCUCUUGGCGUUCUCUCCAUGAGCUUCAUCAGGUGGUCGCCUGAAAUAGUUUUCCAAAGAGUCUUGAAAGAACUUCCCAGACGUUCAUUGAGAGACGGCCAAAGGUUAAUAUUUCAGUCAUUACAGCAAAGAGCGACUACUUUAAGGAGUCUAAAAUAUAAAACAUAUUUAAAGGUAUUUUACAACUUUUGUUUGGUAGAUAAUUCCAAAUGUGUUCAUUCACUUUUUUGAUGCCUUCAUUGAGAACCUACAAUAUAUGACCUAAUAGUCAUAAACAUAAAGAAAACCAUUAAAUGAGAAAGGCAUUCUAAAACUUUUGACCAGUAGUGUAUUUCAGUAUUUAAAAAACAUGCAGCUGUUUGUUACUCACUUUUUAACAGUUGUAAAAAUGUUUCCCCUGCUUCCUCUGCUGCACUUUUUCUGAGUAUUGAACAACUAUCCAUUGCAACACGAGCUGCUGCUGACUGGAACUCCUCUACAACGUGGAGGAGCUUUUCCACCUCCCUAACUUCCCACACCUGAGAGGGUCAAGUCUUUCUGGAAGGGUUUGCUGACAUUGCUGAGAAGGAUCAGAUCAAGAAGCUUCACGGCAUGCUGGGUCCGCAAAUGGUCAGGAGGCUGAAGGCUGAUGUCUUCAAGCACACGCCCUCCAAGUCUGAGCUCAACAUCAGAGUGAAGCUCAGUCCCAUGCAGAAGAAAUACUACAAAUUCAUCUUGACGAAAACCUUCGAGGCCCUCAACAGAAAAUGUGGUGGAACCAGGUCUUACUGCUAAAUGUCUUCAUUGAUCUCAAAAAAUGCUUCAACCACCCCUACAUCUUUCCUGCAACAACUAUUGCAUGGACCAAAGACCCAGGAGAAACUAUUGUCUGCCUUGUAAAAAAGAAAUGACUAAUGUUUGCCACAGCACUCUAUUUGGGAAAAACAUCAACAAGGUGUCUCAAAGGCACUUGGAAAACUGCUGCUGCAGAAAAUGAUGAGGAAGCUGAAGGAGGCAGGACACAGUUCUUACUUUCUCUCACGCCGGCAACUUUUGUGAAUACGGUCUAACAGGUUAACUUUGUUUAUUUAACUGCUUUAUUCAUCAAUUUGUUAUUUGUUGUUCUGCAGACAAUCAAGAUUAUGGCUUUGUUAGAGGACUUCUUGGAAAAUUAAGGGUAUGAGUGAAUCGACGGAGGAACCACAGGAGGGAUGAGACAGGAAGCAAUUGAUCACUUUAAUGUGAAACAUGGUGGUGGCAACUUCAAGCUAUGGGAAGGACAGACACUCCGGGCAGAAAUAAGUCCCCCUGCCUCAGUCUGGAUCUGACGAAGCCCUUCUUUAGGU